rnacentral:lncRNA from 1 species
CUUAAAGCCUAAGCAAGCUCCCUCUACAUAAAGGGAGAUAGGGUGCUCUCUGGGAAGUAAGUCAAAAUCCACAGAGAUAAAACUCUGCUAAUUUUUUUACUGAGAAAUCAAAGUUCUCUCCACUUUUUUUUACUCUCAAACUCUCUUCUGUUUCUCUAUUUUCAUCUCCUGUUCCCAAGGCUCCGACUGAUUUAAGCAUCGGAGAUUCCUAAACCGGAGGGCACCCUAUGAUUUUAAGACUUUUUUUGCAGGUUUUGAAAGUAGACC